ACCCUCCCCACUGGAUCUAAAUCCCAGCAAACCAGACCGCACACCCACAGCCGCACCCCACCACCCACACCCAGGAAACAGCCUUUGAAAAUAAAAAUCAGUCGGGUGCAGUGGGGCACACCUGUCAUCUCAGCGGCUCAGGAGGCUGAGGCAGGAGGAUUGCAAGUUCGAGGCCAGCCUCAGUCACUUAGGAGACCCUAAACAACUUGGUGAGGCCCUGUCUCUAAAUAAAGAAUAAGAAGGGCUGGGACAUGGCUCAGGGGUUAAGUGCCCCCGAGUUCAAUCCCUGAUACCAAAUAAAUAAAGAAAAGGAAAGGAAACCCUCAUUCCUCACUCCCACAGUCUCUGGGCUCUGGCACCUCCCCACGCCAGCCCGGCCACGCUGGCCCCGUUCCUCCCUUCCUACCUUUGCAGGAGCCGUGCCCAGGGCUUGAGGGCUCUUGGCUCAGUUAGGGUCAGCUGAGCCAAUCCUUCCCGGCCACUUACACCUGAUGGCCUUAACUUGAGGUGCUCUCCUAGGUCCGAGGUCUGGGUGUUGUCGUCACCAUCAGACCCCCCACCCCAGGGCCAAACAUGGGUGAUUUCUGGGCACCAUGCAAACUGAGUUCCAGUGAGCCCCCUGCAGCGAGGACACCAGGACCUUGCUGUCUAAAGCCUUUAACUGAGCACUUACUAUGUGCCUGGGUUCUAGUGGCUCCCUGCCAUCCUUGGCUCUCCUGGGCUGGUGGACAGGGCUCCAGUCUCUGCCUUCUCCUGGUGUCCCUGUGUCCAAACAUCUCCCUUCUUAUGAGGGCAGUCCUGUGGGUCUGGGGGCCCACUGUAAUCCAGCAUGACCACAUUUAAACGUGAUCACAUCUGCAAAGACCCUGUUUCCAAGUAACGUCACACUCGUGGGUUCAGGGUGGACAUGAGUAUCAAGGGGACACUGUUCGUUUCAGCACAUCCCAUUCUUUCAGUGUACUGGAAGGGAUUCCAGAGGCACCGGCUUUUCCAAGACGCGCUGGAUCAACCGCACAGGAGAAGGCUCUGCGGUCUUGUGCAGGUGUGGCCGGGUGUCAGGUCGAGUUCACUGAGUCGCACAGACACUCCGCCCCAGCUCCGGUCCGUCUGCAUCCAUCUCCUACGACGUUCAAUACGUCUGUCCACCCAUGAACCAGAAACCCAGGAGCAGGCCCUGCCGCCGGCUCAGGGCGGACCAGCCAAGGAAAACUUGAUGAGAACGCACCUCGUGGUGGGAGACGGGCCCCAAAGAGUUUACAAUUAUUUUAUAAAAUAAUCAGAAUUAUUUUGAUCCUAAUUGUGUCACAAACAUUUGAUCAUAACUGUAUACAAUGUGUCAUCGGUUUCUGUUGUUUUGAUCAAUUGGAUGCCAAUAAUAAUUGCACUAACUUAAACCUGAAGAAGUCACUGUCUUUCCCAGGGCCCUGUAAACCCGGGAAAUGGAACAAGUAUGAAAACUUUAAAAAAGAUAUAGUUUGGGGCUGGGCUGGUGGCUCAGUGGUAGAGUGCUUGCGUGAC
rnacentral:lncRNA from 1 species